GACGAACGCUGGCGGCGUGCCUAAUACAUGCAAGUAGAACGCUGAAGAGAGGAGCUUGCUCUUCUUGGAUGAGUUGCGAACGGGUGAGUAACGCGUAGGUAACCUGCCUUGUAGCGGGGGAUAACUAUUGGAAACGAUAGCUAAUACCGCAUAACAAUGGAUGACACAUGUCAUUUAUUUGAAAGGGGCAAUUGUUCCACUACAAGAUGGACCUGCGUUGUAUUAGCUAGUAGGUGAGGUAAUGGCUCACCUAGGCGACGAUACAUAGCCGACCUGAGAGGGUGAGCGGCCACACUGGGACUGAGACACGGCCCAGACUCCUACGGGAGGCAGCAGUAGGGAAUCUUCGGCAAUGGGGGCAACCCUGACCGAGCAACGCCGCGUGAGUGAAGAAGGUUUUCGGAUCGUAAAGCUCUGUUGUAAGUCAAGAACGGGUGUGAGAGUGGAAAGUUCACACUGUGACGGUAGCUUACCAGAAAGGGACGGCUAACUACGUG
rnacentral:rRNA from 1 species